UAGAAACACAGGCUUCGCAGUGCUCUCUCCUCCCCCGAGCGGUGUGCGCAUUUUCAGGGCAGAUAUGCUUUGGGGCCCCCUUAGGCACCUGAGCCCUGAUGCGACUACUACCUCUGCACCCCCUAUAGCUACGCUCCUGAUUUUAAGCCCAGGACCGCUUAUACAGGUGAGACUUAUACAUGGGAGGGGUGAUGUUUUAAUUUGUGAGUCAGAGGAAGUGCCUACUGCGUGAAACAAUUGUCGCUCCAACUAAUGCAUAUGUACUCCUGCACUUGUUCGAAAAUGAGGGAAUAAAUGCAG